UACGAAGGGGGCGAGCGUUGUUCGGAAUUACUGGGCGUAAAGGGCGCGCAGGCGGCCCUUGAAGUCAGGCGUGAAAGCCCCGGGCUCAACCUGGGAGGUGCGCUUGAUACUCGAGGGCUUGAGUGCGGGAGAGGAGAGUGGAAUUCCCAGUGUAGAGGUGAAAUUCGUAGAUAUUGGGAGGAACACCUGUGGCGAAAGCGGCUCACUGGACCGCAACUGACGCUGAGGCGCGAAAGCUAGGGGAGCAAACAGG
rnacentral:rRNA from 1 species